rnacentral:misc_RNA from 1 species
ACACCUCAACUCUAACGGUUCACCCGUGAUGAGCUUGGACUUCUGGAGGUUUUGCUGGCCUGUGGUCGGCUCCUCUCAAAUGGAUCAGCUUACCAGUGUUUGGUGGCGCCAUGGGUGUGAUAACUAUCUACGCCUGCGGCCGUCUGCCAGGAGACCUUCAGUGAUGGGGGUUUGCUGGGGCUUACAAAUGUCUCUCCCCAGCGAGGACAGCUUAUUUAAC